rnacentral:rRNA from 1 species
CCUCUGCACUAGGCGAAAGCCUGACAGGGUUACUCUGAGUGAUUCCCGCUAAGGGGAUCUUUUGGCACCUCUAAAAAUGGUGCAAAAUAAGGGGUGGGCAAGCCUGGUGUCAGCCGCCUCGGUAAUACCAGCACCCCGAGUGGUCGGGACAAUUAUUGGGCCUAAAGCAUCCGUAGCCGGCCACGCAAGUCCUCCGUUAAAUCCACCCGCUCAACGGUUGGGCUGCGGAGGAUACUACAUGGCUAAGAGGCGGGAGAGGCAAGCGGUACUCAAUGGGUAGGGGUAAAAUCCUUUGAUCCAUUGAAGACCACCAGUGGCAAAGGCGGCUUGCCAAAACGCGCUCGACGGUGAGGGAUGAAAGCUGGGGGAGCAAACCGGAUUAUAUACCCGGGUAGUCCCAGCUGUAAACGAUGCAUACUCGUGUAUGGGAUGGCCUCGACCCAUCCCAGUGCCACAGGAAAGCCGUUAAGUCUGCCCCCUGAAGAGUACUGUCGCAGCACUGACUCUUAAGAGAUUUGGCGGGAGAGCAC